rnacentral:sRNA from 1 species
UACGUUUAAAACAAUGAAAGCCCUACCUCUCUUCCAUCCUUACGGCUCCUUGACCGUGCCAGUGUGAAUUAAAGUAAUCGUAGGCUA